UUAACCUCAAUUUCUGCAUCUUUAUCUUCAUUUCAAAACCAUCCUCCUCGCCCCGCGCCCUAAUAAUAUAGAUGGUACAAUACUGUUCCGAAUUUCACCUUUUUAUCCGUUUCUAAAAGCUGUCUGUACCGUUGAUUAAAUGUAUAAUUUGACCUUCAAGGGCAAUGCUAGUUUUCUAAUGCGUGGGCACAGCCCCUUUAUGAUCUUAGGGAUUUCAAAAUUAGAAGUUGCUAGGAGCAAAUUGAUUUUGAUUAUUCUAAUUGUAAUUUCUGUCGUUGAAAUAUUGUCAUGUUGCUGUCAAUAGACCAUUAUAUUAAUGAAUUAUUCUUCAAGUUAGCUGGUCUUGAGUAUAACCCAAGAACAGCAUGUCUAUGCACAGUGAGCUGUUAAUUGAACCUAGUUAGCCAUAGGUAACAUAGCCAGUAAUGGAGUAGUUCUCUAAAUUUGUACGGUCUCUUCAAAGUAAAACUCCUGAACCCUGCUUUAAUAUUUCACCUUGAGGCUAUUUCGAAAUCGUUUCAGUAAUUUGAUUUUUUUUUUCUUUUAGCAUUUUAUAGCUUCAUAUUUCUGUUGUCCCCAUCUUUGGACACUAGGGUUUUCAAUACACUAACUUCAGCAAUGUGAUAAGAUGUAGGAUAUAAUCAGCUCUUUUUGAGAAAUUUCACCUGUUCUGUUAAGAGAAACUGUGCGGAACUUUUCCUCCUUCAAUUUUGGUUUUCGCUUAUCCUAGCUAUUCUUUAACGUGCUUUAGUGUUUUAUAUUUUCACUUUUGAGCUGCUUGUAACUUUGGUAUUAGAAUUUAGAGCAAGCACCAAAUUCCUGGAGUUCGUCUCUAAUUUUGUGGCACAAAAGUGCUUGGGUAUUUAGGGGAUUUGGCUCAGAAAGGAAGCUCUAUUACUAGACGUCCGAGACUUGUCAUCAUAUGUGAUAGUGCUGCACUUGCUAAGAGCAGAAACUUGGGAAUUUAGUGGAUCUACCUCAGAAUGGGAGCUCUAUUAUUACAAGUCUGAGAUUUGUCAGCAUAUGUGGUGCCAUGUGAAUAUAUCCAAUGCAAAUUCUGAUUUUGGAGAAGCUGGAGAAAGUAAUAAGCAAAAACUGAUUAUGGACAGUGAUCCAUGAUGAAAAGAGCUAUGGCUAGAAGUCCCUGGUCAAUCCAUGCUGAUGCUAGAAGAGCUAUUCCUGCCGCCCACCCAAAAGAGACGAGGAAGACUAACCGCCAUCCUGCUCGAACCUUUGCUGCCUGAUUUAUAUAGCUGACUGCGAGAAGGAAGGUUCAAGCUAUGGCUGCCCCAUGGGAUGCUCAUUUUCAAAUAAUGGACACUGACUACGAUUUGGAUUGUCUCCCCGGCUCAAUGGAAAGACAACCCCGUUCUACACUUCAUCAAGACGAAAAUCAUGCCUUUCCUCCCAGCAACUUCUUGGGAGUAGGGGCAUCAAAGCUUGCCCAAUUUUUAUAGGGCUAUACGGACUCGAACCGUAGACCUUAUCGGCCUGGUGCUUGCCUCGAGUUCAGCACAUUGAAGUGCCAAAUCCACUAUUUUCAGGGCCUUCCAUUGUUUAUCUACAUCCCAGAGACUAAUUUCUUCAUCAAGA